rnacentral:lncRNA from 13 species
AUGAUUUCUUCCCUUGCUCAUUCAAGUUGUUGGCAGAAUAGUUUCUGCAGUCCCAGGGCCGAGUUCCCUGUCUCCUUGCUGGCUGUCGGCCCAGGGCCAUUCCCAGCUGUCUGCAUUUCUCAGCUCUGUCUCCUUGGGGCUAAGGAGAGCAAUGAUACAUUCCUCCAUCUUCGAAGCCAGCAAGGGUGGUUUGACCAAAAAGAAGUGUCUGUAUAUAUUGAAAAGAAGAAAUGCCUGGAACGGGGGUGCCAAGGUAUUCCAUCAGUUAACUUGGCCGAGGGCAGAGAGGCCUCAUCACACCGCCCUUUUAACACGAGAGACACGUGAGUUUUUUAGAGGUUAAAUAAAAGAACUGCGGCUCUAAGGUCCGGCUGUGUG